AAACUCGUACCUUUUGCAUCAUGAUUUAGCCAGAACCCCUCAAGCAAAGAGACCUUUAGUUUGACCCCCCGAAACUAGGUGAGCUACUCCAAGACAGCCUGUAAUAGGGCAAACCCGUCCCUGUGGCAAAAGGGUGGGAAGAGCUUCGAGUAGGGAUGACAGAUCUAUCGAACCUAGUUAUAGCUGGUUGCCUGAGAAUUGGAUAGAAGUUCAGCCUCUCGGUUUUUCCUGAAACCAAGAGAGUUAGUCAAAGGGGGUACAGCUCCUUUGAAACAAGACACAACUUUACCAGGAGGGUAAAGAUCAUAAUAACAUAAGGAAAAAUGUUCUGGUGGGCCUAAAAGCAGCCACCCCGAUAGAUAGCGUUAAAGCUCGUACACAUAAUUCCGAUAAUUCAAUCUUAACCCCCUAAUCCUACCAGGCCGUCCCAUGCAAACAUGGGAGCGAUUAUGCUAAUAUGAGUAACAAGAGAGCGUCUCUCUCCUGCACACGUGUAAGUCGAAAUGGACCCCCAUCGACCUUAACGGCCCCAAACAAAGAGGGAACUGGACUACAACAAGAAAAACCCCCACCGUUAACCCUACACUGGUGUGCUUCAAGGAAAGACUAAAAGAAAAAGAAGGAACUCGGCAAAUAGGCCUCGCCUGUUUACCAAAAACAUCGCCUCUUGCAAGAAUAAGAGGUCCCGCCUGCCCUGUGACUAUAUGUUUAACGGCCGCGGUAUCCUGACCGUGCGAAGGUAGCGUAAUCACUUGUCUUUUAAAUGGAGACCUGUAUGAAUGGCAUAACGAGGGCUUAACUGUCUCCUUUUUCCAGUCAAUGAAAUUGAUCUCUCCGUGCAGAAGCGGGGAUAAAAACAUAAGACGAGAAGACCCUAUGGAGCUUUAGACACUAAGGUAGAUCGUGUUAAGCACCCCCUGACAAAGGGCCAAACCCUAUGAAUCCUACCCUAAUGUCUUUGGUUGGGGCGACCGCAGGGAAAUAAAAAACCCCCGCGUGGAACGGGAGUACUCCUACUACCAAGAGCUACCGCUCUAAUAAACAGAAUCUCUGACCCAUUAGAUCCGGCAACGCCGAUUAACGAACCAAGUUACCCUAGGGAUAACAGCGCAAUCCUCUUUUAGAGCCCAUAUCGACAAGAGGGUUUACGACCUCGAUGUUGGAUCAGGACAUCCUAAUGGUGCAG
rnacentral:rRNA from 1 species